GCCAAGGUUCUGAUAACAGCAC
rnacentral:piRNA from 1 species